UAAAGGUUUUACCUCUGCAGUAAUGGAGCGUCUGGGUACCAUGACGGGGGACACUGUGGAAAAUGCAACUUCAGACAGAUUAUGACAGAUGGAAUCUUAAUGGAUGGGAGAAGGGACAGAGCUGAAAUGGAAAUAAUAUCCAUUCUCCUAGUAAUACAUUCUAAAAUUACUAAGUGCCAGACUGAACCUAAUCCACUAUGCAACAUUCUAAUGACCAGCCCAUCCCAGGAGACGUCAAACCAUCAAAAGCCUAUAUGCAGAAGCCCAGAGGAGUGAAGUGGCACAAUGGCAAGGGAAAUCCCAAAUUAAGAACUCAGAGGAAGGGACACCCUGUCUGGACCCCUCCAAGGGCAGUCUCAGGAAACCCUCAGAUCUGCUGUCCUGGUGUGAAACCCAUGAGUAAAUGAUAGACCAUCCUUUGGACUGAGAGAGUUUGCUGCCUAGGGCUAUGAGGCACAUUACAAGAUGCAGAGGAAGAUCAUUAGGGUAUUCUAGAAGAUUUAUGAGAUAUUUAGGGACCAAGGGCAGGCAAAGAGGCAACUGAAAGCUGUCUCAUGAUGUUCCAUGUGCACAGUUCAGAGUUAAAUAAUACAUGUUAUUUCUGCAGUUCAUUCACUAUUGAUGUAAUUCUGUAUUCAAGGUAUUUGAGUUAUUCACUCUGUUAUAAUCCUAAAAAGAGCAAGCAGUUUCUUAAAAUUGUUUUAGUUGUAUACAGAUAUAUAAAAUCCUCUUGGGUCACUUGGAGUUUUCUGGUAGGUUUGACUCGUUGGUUUCUAUUACAUCUUGGUGUGUUCAUCUAUUUUUACCUGUUUGUUUUAAAAUCUCCUGCAAUGAAGAAAACACCUACUAGUUUGAAUCAGGAUCAUAACAAAGUCUUCUUAAAAAAAAGAAUAAAUCUGUCAGUGACAAAUAGGUGGAAACAGAAUUUUCUAGCAUUUUAGUUUAGAUUUUCCCUACAGUUCUAAGCAUUGUGUCUCAAUAAUUUAGCUGGCAUUUAACUACACUAUUGGUAAACAAUAGAAGUAAUCAUAUUGCUUUCUAAAUAUCACAAACCUCUAGUACAAGCUACAGAAUCACUGAAUAGUACAAUAUGUGCAGAGGACCUGUAACUCAAAGUUUUGAGUUCAUUUAAGUGCUGAGGUGAAAUAAGAAUAUAUAUUUGUUAAAAAUCAUAACAAUAUCUACUUUUCAAAUUAAAUCCAUAAACAGUACUACUGCUUAUUCAGAUUCAGGAGAGAACAUGUGAGUAAUCAGAACUUAUACGCCACAGAAAAGCAUCAUGCUUAUUUAUACCCUCUGAAAUUACAUAUACAAACUUGUUCAGAAUGACAAACAGAUGAUACACCUGUCCAUUUGUUCCAGAAUUAUUCUCUGUAACUGUACCUAGAAAGUUUGAACUGCAACACUGCUCUGAUUAAAAUAUCUGCAGUGACAUCUAACUAAAGCUGGUCUUAAGUGGAAUGAGAUUCUUU